UACGUAGGGUGCAAGCGUUGUUCGGAUUCACUGGGCGUAAAGGGUGCGUAGGUGGUUAGGUAAGUCCGAUGUGAAAUCUCCAGGCUCAACCUGGAAAUGGCAUUGGAUACUAUUUAGCUUGAGGAGUGGAGGGGGGGACUGGAAUUCUCGGUGUAGCAGUGAAAUGCGUAGAUAUCGAGAGGAACACCAGUGGCGAAGGCGAGUCCCUGGACACUUCCUGACACUGAGGCACGAAAGCGUAGGGGAGCAAACAGG
rnacentral:rRNA from 1 species